rnacentral:rRNA from 1 species
GACGAACGCUGGCGGCGUGCUUAACACAUGCAAGUCGAACGGUAAGGCCCUUCGGGGUACACGAGUGGCGAACGGGUGAGUAACACGUGGGUGAUCUGCCCUGCACUUCGGGAUAAGCCUGGGAAACUGGGUCUAAUACCGGAUAGGACCACUGCCUGCAUGGGUGGUGGUGGAAAGCCUUUGCGGUGUGGGAUGGGCCCGCGGCCUAUCAGCUUGUUGGUGGGGUGAUGGCCUACCAAGGCGACGACGGGUAGCCGGCCUGAGAGGGUGACCGGCCACACUGGGACUGAGAUACGGCCCAGACUCCUACGGGAGGCAGCAGUGGGGAAUAUUGCACAAUGGGCGCAAGCCUGAUGCAGCGACGCCGCGUGAGGGAUGACGGCCUUCGGGUUGUAGACCUCUUUCAGCACCGACGAAGCGCAAGUGACGGUAGGUGCAGAAGAAGGACCGGCCAACUACGUGCCAGCAGCCGCAGUAA